GUCAAGAUGGCCGAGUGGUCUAAGGCGCCAGACUCAAGUUCUGGUCUUCGUAAGAGGGCGUGGGUUCAAAUCCCACUUCUGACA
rnacentral:tRNA from 1 species